GCGUCUUUAGCUCAGUGGAUAGAGCGUCGGACUUCUAAUCCGCAGGUCCCAGGUUCGAAUCCUGGAAGGCGCG
rnacentral:tRNA from 1 species